UCUUUCUCUGGUUUAACUUUCUAGCUUGUUUCGAUGACUGGUCCAGUCCACAGACAUAGUCAAGUCUCCCACUGGAAAUCAUGUUUCUGAGGAAGUGGCUUAGCGAAAGAAUCAUCUUUCCCUAUACGACUUAGAUGAAACUCACAGAUGACCCCUUUGUUUACCUAUGAUAAGAGAUUGAUAAAAGAAGCCUCCCGGAUGUGAGAAAUCUGCUUUAGCAAAUAUGUUCUAUAUAUAUUUGAGACACAUAAUUGCAAACAUCCAAUAGCAUAACAACAAUUAACUAGAUACAUACAUUUUGGAAGGAGAAAAGACAUUGAAUACAAAGAUAAACAAUUAGUUAAUGAACUCCCUCUGCUUCAUUCAUACACAAUCAGGAGUAAAUGUAACAAAUUGGAAGGCCAUUAGAAUGAGUAACAAUUGUAAUUGUACAAAUUAUAGCCAACUGACAGCUGCAUUUCCUUAUCUCCCAUUCCCUGUCUCUAGCUGUUUUUCAUGUUUUUCCCCUUCUUAUCACUUGGAUUUAUAGACCUUAAAAAUCUCAGAAGCAUAAGAUAUACUAAGACAUUAAAAAUAUAAAGACCUGGGAGUGAUGUCAGCAAGACAGUAGAAUAGGAGAUAUGAGGCUUCAUAGCCCCACAGUAACACGGAUUUGACUAUCCAUGGACAAAUAUACCUUUAUGGGAGCUCUAGAGUCCAUUUGGGAGGCUCCAGUAUCCCAGUGGAGCACAAAAUGUGAGAACGGCCACAUUGCAAGAGUAAGAAUAGUUUCACUUUAUCAGUGAUAUUACUUCACUACCCUAGCACAGCUCAGCGCUAAGAGAGACCCCUCCAGCUGCAAUUUUUCCCACAGUGGAGAGAGCUAUGUGAACAUCUGCCACCUCAGCUUUCGGGGCACUGCUUCAGAGGCCUGCUUCUGCAUCACCUGACCCAUAACACUGAAGGAGCGGCACAAUUAGAUCUUCUGGGGGCAGGUAAGAACAGAGCAAAGAGGUGGGUAUUCAUAGCAACUGGCACAUGGAUCUCAACAACCAACCUGUAGACCCUGGUGGCCAGUCCCCACAAAUACAUAUACACCCAACAUCAGAGCACUUAAAUAUGUAAAGUAAACAUUGACAGAGAAAUAGACAGCAAUACAGUAAUAAUAGGUGAGCUCAGUAUCCCAAUUUCAAUAAUAGAUAGAACAUCCAGACAGAAACAUCAAUAAAGAAACAGCAGACUUGGAAAACACUAUGGACCAAUUGGACCUAACAGACAUAUACAAAACAUUCCAUCCAAAAGGAGCAAAAUAUACAUUCUUCUCAAGUAUAUAUGGAAUGCUCCACAGGAGAGAUCACAUGCUAGGUCACAAAAAAGUCUCAAUACAUUUGUAAAAAGUGAAAUCAUCCAAAGCAUCUUUUUCAACCACAAUGGAAUCAAAGUAGAAAUCAAUAACAUAAAGAACAUAAAGAAACUCACAAAUGCAUAAAAAUUUAAUGACACACUCUUGAAGAAACACUGAAUAAAAGAAGAAAUCAAAAAGGAAAUUAGA